rnacentral:ncRNA from 1 species
UCACGGCCGCGAUCGCGGCCUCCGGACGAGGGCACCCAGUACCCGGAACGCGACAAGACUGGCUCA